UACCAGCACCCCGAGUGGUCGGGACGUUAUUGGGCCUAAAGCAUCCGUAGCCGGUUCUGCAAGUCUCCCGUUAAAUCCAACUGCUCAACAGGUGGGCUGCGGAGGAUACUACAAGGCUAGGAGGCGGAAGAGGCAAGCGGUACUCAGUGGGUAGGGGUAAAAUCCUCUGAUCCAUUGAAGACCACCAGUGGCGAAGGCGGCUUGCCAAUACGCGCUCGACGGUGAGGGAUGAAAGCUGGGGGGAGCAAACCGG
rnacentral:rRNA from 1 species